rnacentral:rRNA from 1 species
UGGGGAAUAUUGGACAAUGGGCGAAAGCCUGAUCCAGCCAUGCCGCGUGUGUGAAGAAGGUCUUCGGAUUGUAAAGCACUUUAAGUUGGGAGGAAGGGCCAUUACCUAAUACGUGAUGGUUUUGACGUUACCGACAGAAUAAGCACCGGCUAACUCUGUGCCAGCAGCCGCGGUAAUACAGAGGGUGCAAGCGUUAAUCGGAAUUACUGGGCGUAAAGCGCGCGUAGGUGGUUUGUUAAGUUGGAUGUGAAAUCCCCGGGCUCAACCUGGGAACUGCAUUCAAAACUGACUGACUAGAGUAUGGUAGAGGGUGGUGGAAUUUCCUGUGUAGCGGUGAAAUGCGUAGAUAUAGGAAGGAACACCAGUGGCGAAGGCGACCACCUGGACUGAUACUGACACUGAGGUGCGAAAGCGUGGGGAGCAAACAGGAUUAGAUACCCUUGUAGUCCCUGAGCGGGC